rnacentral:rRNA from 1 species
AUGACGUCAAGUCCUCAUGGCCCUUACGGGCUGGGCUACACACGUGCUACAAUGGCGGUGACAUUGGGACGCUAAGGAGCAAUCCUUCGCAAAUCUCAAAAAGCCGUCUCAGUUCGGAUUGGGCUCUGCAACUCGAGCCCAUGAAGUUGGAAUCGCUAGUAAUCGUGAAUCAGCAUGCCACGGUGAAUACGUUUCCCGGGGCUUGUACACACCGCCCGUCACACCAUGGGAGUUGGUUUUACUUGAAGGCGGGUCGCUAACCCGCAAGGAAGGCAGCCGACCACGGUAGGUUCAGCGACUGGGGGUAAGUCGUACAAGUU